rnacentral:rRNA from 1 species
CGGUUGUCCGACAGGGCACUGCCGGGCAGCCACGCUAUCGAGGAUAAGGGCUGAAAGCAUCUAAGCCCGAAACCUCUCCCGAAAAUAGGCA